AUUGAACGCUGGCGGCAGGCCUAACACAUGCAAGUCGAGCGAGCGGCGGACGGGAGAGACAUGUAUGGGGCUCUGCCCGAUAGAGGGGGAUAACUACUGGAAACGGUGGCUAAUACCGCAUACUAUCCGCUUAACCCAUAUGGGAUUAGCUAGUAGGUGGGGUAAAGGCUCACCUAGGCGACGGUCACUAGCUGGUCUGAGAGGAUGAUCAGCCACACUGGAACUGAGACACGGCCCAGACUCCUACGGGAGGCAGCAGUGGGGAAUAUUGCACAAUGGGCGCAAGCCUGAUGCAGCCAUGCCGCGUGUAUGAAGAAGGCCUUAGGGUUGUAAAGUUCUUUCAGCGGGGAGGCGUUACCCGAUGAAAAAGCACCGGCUAACUCCGUGCCAGCAGCCGCGGUAAUUC
rnacentral:rRNA from 1 species